rnacentral:rRNA from 1 species
CCCGACUGCUAUUUGGGUGAGGAUAAGCCAUGCGAGUUGAAUGGGAAACCUAAAAAUCCCAUGGCAAACUGCUCAGUAACACAUGAUCAACUUACCCUAUAGAGGAAAAUAACCUCGGGAAACUGAGGAUAAUGUUCCAUAGUUGAAUCGGCUUGGAAAAGUUUUUCAAUUAAAGGGAUAAGGAAAAUGGUUCUUAUCUGCUAUAGGAUAGGAUCGUGCUCGAUUAUGGUUGUUGGUGAGGUAAAGGCUCACCAAGCCGAUAAUCGAUAGGGGCCGUGAGAGCGGGAGCCCCGAGAUGGGUACUGAGACAACGACCCAGGCCUUACGAGGCGCAGCAGGCGCGAAACCUCCGCAAUACACGAAAGUGUGACGGGGUUACCCAAAGUGUUCAAUAGAACUGUGGUAGGUGAGUAAUGUUCCCUACUAGAAAGGAGAGGGCAAGGCUGGCGCCAGCCGCCGCGGUAAAACCAGCUCUUCAAGUGGUCGGGAUAAUAUUGGGCUUAAAGUGUCCGUAGCCGGUUUAGUAAGUUCCUGGUAAAAUCGGGUAGCUUAACUAUCUAUAUGCUAGGAAUACUACUAUACUAGAGGGCGGGAGAGGUCUGAGGUACUACAGGGGUAGGGGUGAAAUCUUAUAAUCCUUGUUGGACCACCAGUGGCGAAGGCGUCAGACUGGAACGCGCCUGACGGUGAGGGACGAAAGCCAGGGGAGCGAACCGGAUUAGAUACCCGGGUAGUCCUGGCCGUAAACGAUGCAUACUAGGUGAUGGCACGGCCAUGAGCCGUGUCAGUGCCGUAGGGAAACCGUUAAGUGUGCCGCCUGGGAAGUACGGUCGCAAGGCUAAAACUUAAAGGAAUUGGCGGGGGAGCACCACAAGGGGUGAAGCCUGCGGUUCA